GCCUGUAUGGCUCAGUAGGUAGAGCAUGGCACUUGCAACGCCAGGAUUGUAGGUUCAACUCCUGAGGCC
rnacentral:tRNA from 1 species